rnacentral:rRNA from 1 species
GACGAACGCUGGCGGCGUGCUUAACACAUGCCAGUCGAACGCUGAAGACCUGGCUUUUGUUGGGUUGGAUGAGUGGCGAACGGGUGAGUAACACGUGAGUAACCUGCCCUCUUCUUUGGGAUAACGCCCGGAAACGGGUGCUAAUACUGGAUAUUCACUGAUCUUCGCAUGGGGGUUGGUGGAAAGGUUUGUUCUGGUGGGGGAUGGGCUCGCGGCCUAUCAGCUUGUUGGUGGGGUGAUGGCCUACCAAGGCUUUGACGGGUAGCCGGCCUGAGAGGGUGACCGGUCACAUUGGGACUGAGAUACGGCCCAGACUCCUACGGGAGGCAGCAGUGGGGAAUAUUGCACAAUGGGCGAAAGCCUGAGGCAGCGACGCCGCGUGAGGGAUGGAGGCCUUCGGGUUGUAAACCUCUUUCGCUCAUGGUCAAGCCGCAACUGUGGGUUGUGGUGAGGGUAGUGGGUAAAGAAGCGCCGGCUAACUACGUG